CGCUAUCGAAAAUCAUGCAUUGGAUGGAUGCCCGGGCAUUGAGAACGAAGGACGCUUUCAGAGGUGAAAGGCCAUGGGGAGAUAUGAAUCUGUGAUCCAUGGAUCUCCGGUCGGGGAACCGUAUCCAAGCUCCGUGGCUAGUCUGCGCUCUUUGGACUUUCCAAACGUAGCGAACUGAAACAUCUGAGUAGCUAAACGAAGGAAAAUCAACCGAGACCGCCUUAGUAGCGGCGAGCGAGAGCGGAACAAGGGUUUUCAUCAAAAGAAAUCCGAAGCGGUUUCAUUCGAUUUGUUGUGGAUUGGAUGAUGGAAAAACCAGCAAGCAGCAAGCGUAGUUCGAAAAGUUAACGUAGCGCGCCCUACGGACUUGUACAAAGUCAGCAACCGUUUUCGGGCGCAACCAUAGGCAAUACAGGACUGAUGACGGGGUGGGGCACGCAGUGAACUGGUUUACUAAAAAGAUUGGAAGAUCCGGCCAAAGAAGGUGAUAGCACGGUUCAUUCGUUCCCAUGGUUCGAUCCUUUCGAGUAAAACGCGGCAUGUUCGAAUGAUGAUCACUUUUACGCGAGAAAGGGGGACCACCCUCUAAGCCUAAGUAUUCCUCAAUGACCGAUAGCGUACAAGUACCGCGAGGGAAAGGUGAAAAGAACCCCAAUCGGGAGUGCAAUAGAGAACCGGAGAUC
rnacentral:ncRNA from 1 species